AUCUCUCUGACAACUCCCCUACCCAGCAUGGGGCGGGGUCACAUGUACCGGAUGUUGAUACAGUCUGUGGAACAGCUGUGAAAGAACAACAAAGGUGACGCGACAUCGGCAGGGUCGACGACAAAAACAAGGGGGAAAUACAACGAAGCAGGUUUUAACAUUCGUGUAGACACAGAACUCCGAAAAUCACAGAUUCACGGUUGGUCACUGCUGACAACACCACUAUGGGAAGGAUCUUCCUGGACCACAUCGGUGGAACAUGCCUGUUCUCCUGCAUCACUUGUGACACCAUCCUGACCAACUGCUCAGAGCUCAUCUCCACAAGCUUCACCGGCACAACAGGCCGAGCCUUCCACUUCACCAUGACGGUCAGGUGACCCUGAGCAGCAAAUGUAUGUUCUAAUUCUGGACAAUGUGAGUUUCCAUCAGGCUGGCAACGGUUUCCAUGACCAUACCAGGUUUACAAUUCUCAAUUUCUCAACCCCAUUGCGUUUUCAGCAUGGUGGUGGUAUGAUCCCAAACCCCAUGAACAUAUGGCCCUUCUCUAGGCAAUGGAAGCCGCCUGUGGUGACAUUCCAGCAGAGUCCUUGCCAGAAGAUAUUCUCUCUUCCCCCUCUGGACCAAGGAGAAUACCGGCUGUGAUGUUGAUUAUCUGUGGCCAGACCAAAACAGAAAUUACAUUGUUUUCGAAAUGGAGUAUGUGUGUGACUUUUGACAGGUUCUUUAUCUAUUCCAUACAGUAGUGCAAAUAGGCUUAUUUUUCUUCCUUUACGUAUGACAAAUAUUUACUGUGUUUGUGUGCAUACAGUAUGCUGUUGAAAUACAACUUGCACUUGUUAUGUACAGAGUAACAAUCUUAGUCUUUACACUGAAAUAGUGACAGAUCACACUGACAUUCAGAUCCUAAGUUAAAUUCAUUUGAUGUGCAUCUCAUUUUGAACAGGGAGCACAUUUUAAUUGCAGUGUUUCAUUAAGCAAGAUGGGGUUUGGGCACCUGAGAUGUAGUAUUGGGAAACUAAUGCCCAUGAUCUUGGAAUGAGAUGUUCAGCAAGCAGGUGUUCAACUUCAUCUUUUGAGCAGAGAAGUGGGGCAAUAGAGGACAUUAACAGGGAAAGGUUUUGGGCAAUCCUCAAAACAAGGGCUAGAUUAAGUUAACAAAUCGGAAGGGUACGGGCACAGACGCAAUCGUAUGAUAUUUAUUGUUCCUUUGUCAGUCAAAAGUAUGUCUACUUUUCACAAGUUGUAUGAAAAGUGUCAAUUUGAGCUUCCCCCCCAUAUUACAGACAUUGACAAUAAGGUUUGCACUUCGUUGUUUGAUGGACUCCUUAAAGUCACCCAUUAUACACUUCAAUUUUAAAGAUCACACACACGACCGGCUCCUCUAAUCCAGUUUAAUCAUCCUCAGCAAAAAGGCCAAAUACAGUAAGAGAAAACAAAGUUAUUUUUUAUACAUUUAACUAAAUAUGCAGCGCUAUGCUAGUGUGUAAGUAAAUCAAAACCAUAUGGUUAAAUACAAUUUCUUUUAAGAUACAGAAAGAUAUUAAUUUCUUCCAUUAGCACUCGCGAGAACAGGUCGCAAAAUAUCAAAAUAAAACCAGCCACAACGGUACGCUCCUUUUUUGUUGUUGACCACUUCACAUCACUCCCUCCAUCCUUCAAAUCAUUCCUCGCACCAGAAGGGGACCAGUGAGAGUCGAAGGAAGCAGAGGAGAGGGGGAUGGAGUGAAGAAUGAGAUGAGCAUUGGGACCAGCACAGUCAAGUAGUGUGACUAGGGUAGUAGGAGAAAAUAUGGAACAGACUAGCAGUAUACUACUUAGAAUGAACCAACGUAUCAGGCAUGCAUUCUAAGUGGUAUUCUAUUAUGGCCAUAUGAACAGAGCCAUGGUUCAAUAGUCCAAGGAGUCAGGGAUUUUGUAUGUACAGAAGAGAGAGUAGAGUGCAUUACAAAACAAAGAGCAGGAACAGCAUCACUCAUUCAAAGGGCAGCAGGCAGAGAAGAGCUUCUGCUUGUGUGUCUCCAGUCCAUUUGUUCAGACUGAUCCAACAGAGGAGCGGAGGAGGAGGUUGGCUGCAGUACAAAGGUUAGUGGUCUGGUUUGGAUUCAAACCACUCUGGCAGAGACUCAUAGGAACAAACACGGCCACACAACAACUGACCCAGGACCUGGGGAACAAUGUCCUCACUCAACACACAAGCCAAUUCAAUCCAAUGCCAUGCAGAGCCAUUGGGCAAGGAAAAGAGAAAAUAAGGUGGGGGAGUUAAAGGUCGAUAUCCCACCCUCCUACAACCUGAGGAGUGGUCUAGGGACAGACAGGUCUAUGUUCCGUUCCUUAGUGACCAUUGACAUAGUGAAAACCUGCUGACAAAGACAACUAAAGAGCCGGUAAGGAGAGAGAGGUCAGUUUCAUAUAGGAAGUACUGUUGCAGACAGUCUUCUUUUGUGAUCGGUGAAGCAGAGGGGAAAAAGAGUUGCGCUAUGGUGGCGCUGCUGUGUGCUAAAAUAAAUAAUCUGACCAUUCUUUCUUUACAGGGUCCUUGUUGAAUCUGAAGACUGGGUGAGUUAAGGCUGUGAAAAUGAACAUGCGAUAGUGAGGCUCCAGAGGUUGCCGUGGUGACAGUGUCCAAGUCAGAGUCCAAACUGUCAAGACUAACAGGAGUGGAUCAACAAUACUCAGAUCCAGAAUGGUGGGGCAAAUUGUGAGUCUAUUUCAACCAUGCUCGCUCUCCCUUCUACCCCCGCUCACUUUCCCUUCUCCCCACUCCCUCCCUCGCUCCUUUCACCCUCUCUUGAAGUGCCUAGUGUGGAGACGGGCGGUCAAUGGGAGCAACUCAGGAGCACUCUUCUCCAAUGCGCUGGCACGAGCGGCCCACCUUGCGGUCCAGCUUCACCAUCUUGAGGACGGCCUCCUCGCGCCCACGCCCCAGGUGGUCGAACAGGCAGUCGUGCUGCUCAGUACUUACCGCAGCGACAGGAGCCCAGUUCCUGCUGUACCAGCUCCAGUUUGGUUUGGCAGCGAUAGCAGCGCCGGCGGUUUUUCUGC